UACGUAGGUGGCAAGCGUUGUCCGGAUUUACUGGGCGUAAAGAGCGCGCAGGCGGUCGAUUUAGUCGCGUGUGAAAGCCCCCGGCUCAACUGGGGAGGGUCACGCGAUACUGAUCGACUCGAAGGCAGGAGAGGGUAGUGGAAUUCCCGGUGUAGUGGUGAAAUGCGUAGAUAUUGGGAAGAACACCGAUGGCGAAGGCAGCCAUCUGGACCGACACUGACGCUGAGGCGCGAAAGCGUGGGGAGCAAACAGG
rnacentral:rRNA from 1 species